GCCUUCGUGGUGUAACGGUAGCACACUCGGCGCGUAUUCGAGAGGUCCAGGUUCGAGUCCCGGCGACGGCA
rnacentral:tRNA from 1 species